AAUGAAAUGCCUGACAAAAGGGUUAUCUUGAUAGGGUAAAUUAUAUGAUUUAUAUCAUUUUCAUUA
rnacentral:tRNA from 1 species